UUUAUUUAUUUUUUAUUUCACCUUUAUUUAACCAGGUAGGCUAGUUGAGAACAAGUUCUCAUUUGCAACUGCGACCUGGCCAAGAUAAAGCAUAGCAGUGUGAACAGACAACACAGAGUUACACAUGGAGUAAACAAUUAACAAGUCAAUAACACAGUAGAAAAAAAAGGGGAGUCUAUAUACAAUGUGUGCAAAAGGCAUGAGGAGGUAGGCAAAUAAUUACAAUAUUGCAGAUUAACACUGGAGUGAUAAAUGAUCAUGUACAGGUAGAGAUAUUGGUGUGCAGAAGAGCAGAAAAGUAAAUAAAUAAAAACUGUGGGGAUGAGGUAGGUGAAAAUGGGUGGGCUAUUUACCAAUAGAUUAUGUACAGCUGCAGCGAUCGGUUAGCUGCUCAGAUAGCUGAUGUUUGAAGUUGGUGAGGGAGAUAAGUCUCCAACUUCAGUGAUUUUUGCAAUUUGUUCCAGUCACAGGCAGCAGAGUACUGGAACGAAAGGCGGCCGAAUGAGGUGUUGGCUUUAGGGAUGAUCAGUGAGAUACACCUGCUGGAGCGCGUGCUACGGAUGGGUGUUGCCAUCGUGACCAGUGAACUGAGAUAAGGCGGAGCAUUACCUAGCAUGGCCUUGUAGAUGACCUGGAGCCAGUGGGUCUGGCGACGAAUAUGUAGCGAGGGCCAGCCGACUAGAGCAUACAAGUCACAGUGGUGGGUAGUUUAAGGUGCUUUAGUGACAAAACGGAUGGCACUGUGAUAAACUGCAUCCAGUUUGCUGAGUAGAGUGUUGGAAGCAAUUUUGUAGAUGACAUCGCCGAAGUCGAGGAUCGGUAGGACAGUCAGUUUUACUAGGGUAAGCUUGGCAGCGUGAGUGAAGGAGGCUUUGUUGCGGAAUAGAAAGCCGACUCUUGAUUUGAUUUUCGAUUGGAGAUGUUUGAUAUGGGUCUGGAAGGAGAGUUUGCAGUCUAGCCAGACACCUAGGUACUUAUAGGUGUCCACAUAUUCAAGGUCGGAACCAUCCAGUGUGGUGAUGCUAGUCGGGCAUGUGGGUGCAGGCAGCGAUCGGUUGAAAAGCAUGCAUUUGGUUUUACUAGCGUUUAAGAGCAGUUGGAGGCCACGGAAGGAGUGUUGUAUGGCAUUGAAGCUCGUUUGGAGGUUAGAUAGCACAGUGUCCAAUGACGGGCCGAAAGUAUAUAGAAUGGUGUUGUCUGCGUAGAGGUGGAUCAGGGAAUCGCCCGCAGCAAGAGCAACAUCAUUGAUAUAUACAGAGAAAAGAGUCGGCCCGAGAAUUGAACCCUGUGGCACCCCCAUAGCGACUGCCAGAGGACCGGACAGCAUGCCCUCUCUCCCUCUCUCACUCUCUCUCUCCCCCUCUCUCUCUCCCCCUACUCUCUCCCUCUCUCACUCUCUCUCUCCCCCUCUCUCUCUCUUCCCCUACUCUCUCCCUCUCUCACUCUCUCUCUCCUCCUUCUCUCUGUCUCUCUCUCCCCCUACUCUCUGUCUCUCUCUCUCCCCCAACUCGCUAAAAUUUGCUUUAUUGGCAUGAUGUAACCAAAGCUUACUUUGGAUAUUUACAAUAUUACAAUUAUAAGAAUCUAAAUUGUCAACAAUAACCAAGGGUCAAAAUAACCAUACAUUGAACAAUAACAAUAAGCAUACAGUAGAGGACAUGUGCAGGUUGAUUGGUUUGUCAGACACUGUCCCUCAACCUAUGGCAGGCAGCAAUGUAGUGCGCUGCCAACCCACAGCUCUCUGCUUCCUCCCCCAACAGGAUAGGAUAGGUAGCCUAUCCUCAUCAGAGAGGUCUUUGAAACCUUGAAUCAGGGUUUCAAAUUUGGGGAAAUGACACUCUCUAAUUGUUUUAUAUUUUUGACAUUUUGUCAGGAAAUGCAGCUCCGUCUCAGGUUCUGCUGUGGGGCGGUGGUUGCACAGCCUUUCCUCUACAGGAAGCCAGGUUUUCCUGUGUCUACCCUUCUCAAUGACAUGGCUGUGCUCACUGAGCCUGUACUUUGUCAAAGUUUUUCUAAGGUUUUGAUGGUAACAAUGGUCAAAUAGUUAACCACAGUGUACUGUCCAUUUAGGGCCAGAUAACACUGCAUUUUGCUUUGUGUUUGUGUUUCCCAAUAAGCAAUGAAGUUUUGUUUUGACUGUGUUGUAAUUUGGUUUAUCCUGAUUGAUUGGAUGUUCUGGUCCUGAGGCUUCAGUGUGUUAGUAGAACAGGUUAGUGAACUCAGGACCAGCUGGAUGAGGGGACUGAGGCUUCAGUGUGUUAGUAGAACAGGUUAGUGAACUCAGCCCCAGGACCAGCUGGAUGAGGGGACUGAGGCUUCAGUGUGUUAGUAGAACAGGUUAGUGAACUCAGCCCCAGGACCAGCUGGAUGAGGGGACUGAGGCUUCAGUGUGUUAGUAGAACAGGUUAGUGAACUCAGCCCCAGGACCAGCUGGAUGAGGGGACUGAGGCUUCAGUGUGUUAGUAGAACAGGUUAGUGAACUCAGCCCCAGGACCAGCUGGAUGAGGGGACUGAGGCUUCAGUGUGUUAGUAGAACAGGUUUGUGAACUCAGCCACGGGACCAGCUGGAUGAGGGGACUGAGGCUUCAGUGUGUUAGUAGAACAGGUUAGUGAACUCAGCCCCAGGACCAGCUGGAUGAGGGGACUGAGGCUUCAGUGUGUUAGUAGAACAGGUUAGUUAACUCAGCCUCAGGACCAGCUGGAUGAGGGGACUGAGGCUUCAGUGUGUUAGUAGAACAGGUUUGUGAACUCAGCCCCAGGACCAGCUGGAUGAGGGGACUGAGGCUUCAGUGUGUUAGUACUACAGGUUAGUUAACUCAGCCUCAGGACCAGCUGGAUGAGGGGACUGAGGCUUCAGUGUGUUAGUAGAACAGGUUUGUGAACUCAGCCCCAGGACCAGCUGGAUGAGGGGACUGAGGCUUCAGUGUGUUAGUAGAACAGGUUAGUGAACUCAGGACCAGCUGGAUGAGGGGACUGAGGCUUCAGUGUGUUAGUAGAACAGGUUAGUGAACUCAGCCCCAGGAUCAGCUGGAUGAGGGGACUGAGGCUUCAGUGUGUUAGUAGAACAUGUUUGUGAACUCAGCCCCAGGACCAGCUGGAUGAGGGGACUGAGGCUUCAGUGUGUUAGUAGAACAGGUUAGUGAACUCAGCCCCAGGACCAGCUGGAUGAGGGGACUGAGGCUUCAGUGUGUUAGUAGAACAGGUUAGUGAACUCAGGACCAGCUGGAUGAGGGGACUGAGGCUUCAGUGUGUUAGUAGAACAGGUUAGUUAACUCAGCCUCAGGACCAGCUGGAUGAGGGGACUGAGGCUUCAGUGUGUUAGUAGUACAGGUUAGUGAACUCAGCCCCAGGACCAGCUGGAUGAGGGGACUGAGGCUUCAGUGUGUUAGUAGUACAGGUUAGUGAACUCAGCCCCAGGACCAGCUGGAUGAGGGGACUGAGGCUUCAGUGUGUUAGUAGUACAGGUUAGUGAACUCAGCCCCAGGACCAGCUGGAUGAGGGGACUGGGGCUUCAGUGUGUUAGUAGUACAGGUUAGUGAACUCAGCCCCAGGACCAGCUGGAUGAGGGGACUGAGGCUUCAGUGUGUUAGUAGUACAGGUUAGUGAACUCAGCCCCAGGACCAGCUGGAUGAGGGGACUCUAUUCUUUGCUCAGCUCUUGGCAUUUCAGGGCAUGGUAUUGAUAUUGGGGUCACUGUAUUUUAUACGUUUCCAAAACUGAAUUGGUCUUUUUUGAGUUUUCAUUAUUAGUGGAUAUUGGCCUAAUUCUGCCCUGCAUGCAUUGUUUGUAGUUUUCCUCUGGACAUGUAGGAGAAUCUUACAGAACUCUGCAUGCAGGGUUUCAAUGGGGUCUGUCCCAUUUGAUGAAAUCUUGUUUUGCAAGUGGACCCAACACCUCGCUGCCAUAAAGUGGACCCCACACCUCGCUGCCAUUA